rnacentral:rRNA from 1 species
ACUCCUACGGGAGGCAGCAGUGAGGAAUCUUGCGCAAUGGAGGAAACUCUGACGCAGCCACGCCGCGUGCCGGAAGACGGCCCUAUGGGUUGUAAACGGCUUUUGUUUGGGAAGAACUGGUGGGAUUAGUCCUGCCUUGACGGUACCGAAUGAAUAAGCACCGGCUAACUCCGUGCCAGCAGCCGCGGUAAUACGGAGGGUGCAAGCGUUGUCCGGAAUCAUUGGGUGUAAAGGAUGCGUAGGCUGGCGCCUAAGUCUGAGGUGAAAUCUUGCCGCUUAACGGUAAAAUGGCCUUGGAUACUGGGUGUCUUGAAUCUGACAGAGGUCGGUGGAAUUCGUAGUGUAGCGGUGAAAUGCAUAGAUAUUACGAAGAACACCAGUGGCGAAGGCGGCCGGCUGGGUCAGUAUUGACGCUGAGGCAUGAGAGCGUGGGGAGCGAACAGGAUUAGAAACCCCAGUAGUCC